rnacentral:lncRNA from 1 species
GGCGGGUCAAUAUAUUUUUUAUUUAUAUAAGGAUAAACUUUAGAUAUCAUUCAUGUGGUUUCGCAAUUUUUAACUUUAGCAUCUUUAUAUAAGGAUAAACUCCAGAUAUUAUCUCUGUGGUUUCGCACCUUCUAAUUUUGGCACUAUGUGGUUUAAAGUGUAUCAAGUUAGCGUUCUGGGAUUUUAUUUUUAUCUUUUCCUCAGCUUCUCCGUUAAUGUUUUGUUAAAUUAUUUGCAAAAAACUUCAGAUACUCUACAUAAGCUUGUCGAAUAUUCACUUUAGUACCCUUUAGUUUUAACUUUAUGACUGAUUUAACGAAAAAAUUAGUGGAAUAGAUAAUAAAAAAAUAAAAACGAAACCACAUGACAUUAAAUCAAUACAUUUUAAAUCAUAAAGUACUAAAGUGAGAAAGUUUUUAAAAUUUUUCCUUUAUAUAAUAAUAGUAAAAGAUGCUGAAUAAUAAAUUAUUCCAAUACAAAAUAUUUUGUGAUUGAAAUCAAAUAAUUUGGCUUU